AAGGAAAGAUUGAGGCGUGCCUAACACAUGCAAGUCGAACGAGAAAGGGGCUUCGGCUCCGAGUAAAGUGGCGCACGGGUGAGUAACACGUGGGUAACCUGCCUCUAAGAUUGGGAUAACUCGUCGAAAGAUGAGCUAAUACCGAAUAAGACCACAGUUCCCGCGGGAACAGGGGUCAAAGGUAGCCUCUGCUUGCAAGCUAUCACUUAGAGAUGGGCCUGCGCACCAUUAGCUAGUUGGUAGGGUAACGGCCUACCAAGGCAAAGAUGGUUAGCUGGUCUGAGAGGAUGAUCAGCCACACUGGAACUGAGACACGGUCCAGACUCCUACGGGAGGCAGCAGUGGGGAAUAUUGCGCAAUGGGCGAAAGCUUGACGCAGCAACGCCGCGUGAGUGAUGAAGGCCUUCGGGUCGUAAAGCUCUGUCGGGAGGAACGAAUGCUCCUGAGGUUAACAGCCUCGGGAGGUGACGGUACCUUCAAAGGAAGCACCGGCUAACUCUGUG
rnacentral:rRNA from 1 species